rnacentral:lncRNA from 1 species
AUGGAUUGGGGGCAGGUUAAAAAGAAAAGGUAUGUCCAUUCAUUUUUGGAAUGUGUGACAUCAUUCUCCUUCUCAUCCCUCCCUCUUGGAACCCCUGAAGUCUCGAUAGAAGCCAAAUAUUCUGAAGGAGGCCUUCCUUCGUGUUCCAGGCUGUUUGCUAGUGCCUCCCAUCCCUCUACCGAAUGUACUCUUUAUGCCCCUAUGUAAGUCCUGUGCAAUCAUCCUAUGAAUGGGCAGACGGCCAACCCUGCUGGACUGUAUGCUCUCUGAGGAGAGAGACUGUCCUAUUUUUAUCUCUACAUCGUUGCCACUUGGCACACUGUCUGUUGCAUAAUAGGAACUGAAUUAAAAAAAAACACCUUAUUAGUUGUUUCAUCUGAAUUUUGAUUUGUGAGCUUCUUUUGUGUGUGAAUAGAGAAGUUAUAGGACUCUCUGGGCCAUGUUUCUUACCUAGAAGACGGAACAAAAUAUACCUCCUACUACCAACUCGUGGGCUGUUUUGAAGAAAUCACUUUGAAAACUGUAAAGUCCAUAUUACAAGAGGUCAAUUCAUCAGUCAGAGAAUUAACAAAUAUACUAAGUGUUUCUAAUAGAGGAGGCAUCUGCUAGAUGUUAGGGAAAUAAAUAUGAAUAUGACAUAAUUUCUGUCCUGGAG